AAAAAGGGCUUCUGUCGUGAGUGGCACACGUAGGGCAACUCGUUUGCUCUACGUGCGGAAUCGACAUCAAGAAGUGGGAUAACUAACCCUCAGGACAGUUAUCCAUUACUAUAGAUAACAAACCG
rnacentral:snRNA from 1 species